rnacentral:misc_RNA from 1 species
GUAUUGAUUGCGUGUGAUCGCAAAUAAAAUAAAAGACAUUCUACACUGCAUCAAUGUUUGUGUGAAAACGCAAGCCCCCUUCCUGGAUCGAAUCGAUCCCGAAGGGUGCCCACGCGGUGGUGCACAAGAGGGUGAGAUGGAUUUUAUGUGAGAGGACACGCUCUGGCGUGCACGACUUUAAAAAAGUCAGCGACAGCCCUCGCAUGCCCUCACACAUUUUGUACGAUAAUGAUCCUUCCGCAGGUUCACCUACGGAAA